rnacentral:rRNA from 1 species
GAUGAACGCUGGCGGCGUGCCUAAUACAUGCAAGUCGAGCGAACGGACGAGAAGCUUGCUUCUCUGAUGUUAGCGGCGGACGGGUGAGUAACACGUGGAUAACCUACCUAUAAGACUGGGAUAACUUCGGGAAACCGGAGCUAAUACCGGAUAAUAUUUUGAACCGCAUGGUUCAAAAGUGAAAGACGGUCUUGCUGUCACUUAUAGAUGGAUCCGCGCUGCAUUAGCUAGUUGGUAAGGUAACGGCUUACCAAGGCAACGAUGCAUAGCCGACCUGAGAGGGUGAUCGGCCACACUGGAACUGAGACACGGUCCAGACUCCUACGGGAGGCAGCAGUAGGGAAUCUUCCGCAAAGGGCGAAAGCCUGACGGAGCAACGCCGCGUGAGUGAUGAAGGUCUUCGGAUCGUAAAACUCUUUUAGUAGGGAAGAACAUAUGUGUAAGUAACUGUGCACAUCUUGACGGUACCUAAUCAGAAAGCCACGGCUAACUACGUG